UACGAAGGGGGCUAGCGUUGCUCGGAAUCACUGGGCGUAAAGCGCACGUAGGCGGAUUGUUAAGUCAGGGGUGAAAUCCUGGAGCUCAACUCCAGAACUGCCUUUGAUACUGGCGAUCUCGAGUCCGGGAGAGGUGAGUGGAACUGCGAGUGUAGAGGUGAAAUUCGUAGAUAUCAGGAAGAACACCUAUGGCGAAGGCAGCUCUCUGGGACGGUACUGACGCUGAGACGCGAAAGCGUGGGGAGCGAACAGG
rnacentral:rRNA from 1 species